GAUGAACGCUGACAGAAUGCUUAACACAUGCAAGUCAACUUGAAUUUGGGUUUUUAACUUAGGUUUGGGAGGCGGACGGGUGAGUAACGCGUAAAGAACUUGCCUCACAGCUAGGGACAACAUUUGGAAACGAAUGCUAAUACCUAAUAUUAUGAUAAUAGGGCAUCCUAUAAUUAUGAAAGCUAUAAGCGCUGUGAGAGAGCUUUGCGUCCCAUUAGCUAGUUGGAGAGGUAACGGCUCACCAAGGCGAUGAUGGGUAGCCGGCCUGAGAGGGUGAUCGGCCACAAGGGGACUGAGACACGGCCCUUACUCCUACGGGAGGCAACAGUGGGGAAUAUUGGACAAUGGACCGAGAGUCUGAUCCAGCAAUUCUGUGUGCACGAUGAAGUUUUUCGGAAUGUAAAGUGCUUUCAGUUGGGAAGAAACAAAUGACGGUACCAACAGAAGAAGUGACGGCUAAAUACGUG
rnacentral:rRNA from 1 species